GAUCCUACUGUUUUUCCCACUUUUGAACGGUAGGAAAACUCGUUAAAGAGAAAACAAAAAAUUCGAUUUGUAAGAUCAGCCGAGGCAGGUCGACUACACAGCACACGGGACCCACAGCAAAAGAGGGGCCGGGAAAAUCAAUAGGCGGACUAGUCGACGAGGAUUAUCGUUUCUGCUCAGACAUGUCAAUCCUUGACCGUUUUAUCUGUAGACUCCGUGGAAUGAACAUCCCGACCAGUGGCCUCAGUCAGACGGUGGUCAGAUAACUGUACAUUCCUAAAUAACAUUCUGUUCUCUUAUGUAGCACACAUCCGAUGUAACUGUAGUGAAAGUGCCUUAUCAUCAGAACACCAACUCAGUCUCAACUCGGCUUUCAACCAAGGAUGUCGUCGGCGGCCAAAUUGCUACACGUUCUCUCUCUAGGCCUCUACUUGUAUGUUACAUAUUUUUUACAAUUAAGAGAUGUCGAAGGGAAGAAAUCGAACGAGGACCCGACCAUCA